GCAUAUCAAUAAGCGGAGGAAAAGAAACUAACAAGGAUUCCCCUAGUAACGGCGAGUGAAGAGGGAAAAGCCCAAAUUUGUAAUCUGGCUCUUUUAUAAGGGUCCGAGUUGUAAUUUUGAGAACUGUUUUCUGUGCUGGACCAUGUACAAGUCUGUUGAAAAACAGCAUCAUUGAGGGUGAUAAUCCCGUAUGUGAUAUGGACUGCCAGGGCAAUAUGAUACAGUCUCUAAGAGUCGAGUUGUUUGGGAAUGCAGCUCAAAGUGGGUGGUAAAUUCCAUCUAAGGCUAAAUAUAGGUGAGAGACCGAUAGCAAACAAGUACCGUGAGGGAAAGAUGAAAAGAACUUUGGAAAGAGAGUUAACAGUACGUGAAAUUGUUAAAAGGGAAACAUUUGAAGUUAGACUUGUUAUUGUUGGUUCAGCUUCUUUAUUGAGGUGUAUUCUGAUGAUUAACAGACCAGCAUCAAUUUUUGGGUGUUGGAUAAGGGUUUUGGGAAUGUGGCAGCUUCGGUUGUGUUAUAGACCAUUACUUUGAUACAAUGCUUAGGAUUGAGGAACGCAGUAAGCUUUGUUGCAGAUUUUUUCGGAAGUCUCCUUACUACGGAUGUUGGUGCAAUAGCUUUAAAUGACCCGUCUUGAAACACGGACC
rnacentral:rRNA from 1 species